CGGGCUGUAGUAUAGUAGCAGUAUGCACCCUUCGGGAGGGUGUGGCCUGGGUGCGAAUCCCAGCAGCCCGA
rnacentral:tRNA from 1 species